rnacentral:rRNA from 1 species
AGUGAACGCUGGCGGUAGGCCUAACACAUGCAAGUCGAACGGCAGCACAGUAAGAGCUUGCUCUUACGGGUGGCGAGUGGCGGACGGGUGAGGAAUACAUCGGAAUCUACUUUUUCGUGGGGGAUAACGUAGGGAAACUUACGCUAAUACCGCAUACGACCUACGGGUGAAAGCAGGGGAUCUUCGGACCUUGCGCGAUUGAAUGAGCCGAUGUCGGAUUAGCUAGUUGGCGGGGUAAAGGCCCACCAAGGCGACGAUCCGUAGCUGGUCUGAGAGGAUGAUCAGCGACACUGGAACUGAGACACGGUCCAGACUCCUACGGGAGGCAGCAGUGGGGAAUAUUGGACAAUGGGCGCAAGCCUGAUCCAGCCAUACCGCGUGGGUGAAGAAGGCCUUCGGGUUGUAAAGCCCUUUUGUUGGGAAAGAACAGCAGCAGGUUAAUACCCAGCUGUUCUGACGGUACCCAAAGAAUAAGCACCGGCUAACUUCGUG